rnacentral:lncRNA from 1 species
UUCAUGAAUCUGAGGCAUCAUAAUAAUUAUCUCAAUACUAUCUCCCUACUCUUGAGUCUGAGACAAUGCCUCAGAUGAAAGGAGUAUUGUUAAGGUAAUGCCUUUGGCUGUACGUUGUUUGUAUUUUUAUCCUUCUUCCGAAGAGGCUAUGUAUGCCGGCGGUAAGCUUGUGCCUAUGGUAUCUAGGGCUCUUCAGUGGUGUUCCAAGGGUCUGAUUAGUUAUCCUUCUGAAGAUUUCUUAAGAGUCUCCCUUCGC